UGUGAACUCGAAGAGUAGGGCGGGACACGUGGUAUCCUGUCUGAAUAUGGGGGGACCAUCCUCCAAGGCUAAAUACUCCUGACUGACCGAUAGUGAACCAGUACCGUGAGGGAAAGGCGAAAAGAACCCCGGCGAGGGGAGUGAAAAAGAACCUGAAACCGUGUACGUACAAGCAGUGGGAGCACCUUCGGGUGUGACUGCGUACCUUUUGUAUAAUGGGUCAGCGACUUAUAUUCUGUAGCAAGGUUAACCGUAUAGGGGAGCCGCAGGGAAACCGAGUCUUAACUGGGCGUUAAGUUGCAGGGUAUAGACCCGAAACCCGGUGAUCUAGCCAUGGGCAGGUUGAAGGUUGGGUAACACUAACUGGAGGACCGAACCGACUAAUGUUGAAAAAUUAGCGGAUGACUUGUGGCUGGGGGUGAAAGGCCAAUCAAACCGGGAGAUAGCUGGUUCUCCCCGAAAGCUAUUUAGGUAGCGCCUCGUGAAUUCAUCUUCGGGGGUAGAGCACUGUUUCGGCUAGGGGGUCAUCCCGACUUACCAACCCGAUGCAAACUACGAAUACCGAAGAAUGUUAUCACGGGAGACACACGGCGGGUGCUAACGUCCGUCGUGAAGAGGGAAACAACCCAGACCGCCAGCUAAGGUCCCAAAGUCAUGGUUAAGUGGGAAACGAUGUGGGAAGGCACAGACAGCCAGGAUGUUGGCUUAGAAGCAGCCAUCAUUUAAAGAAAGCGUAAUAGCUCACUGGUCGAGUCGGCCUGCGCGGAAGAUGUAACGGGGCUAAACCAUGCACCGAAGCUGCGGCAGCGACACUAUGUGUUGUUGGGUAGGGGAGCGUUCUGUAAGCCUGCGAAGGUGUGCUGUGAGGCAUGCUGGAGGUAUCAGAAGUGCGAAUGCUGACAUAAGUAACGAUAAAGCGGGUGAAAAGCCCGCUCGCCGGAAGACCAAGGGUUCCUGUCCAACGUUAAUCGGGGCAGGGUGAGUCGACCCCUAAGGCGAGGCCGAAAGGCGUAGUCGAUGGGAAACAGGUUAAUAUUCCUGUACUUGGUGUUACUGCGAAGGGGGGACGGAGAAGGCUAUGUUAGCCGGGCGACGGUUGUCCCGGUUUAAGCAUGUAGGCUGGUUGUCCAGGCAAAUCCGGAUAAUCAAGGCUGAGGUGUGAUGACGAGGCACUACGGUGCUGAAGUAACAAAUGCCCUGCUUCCAGGAAAAGCCUCUAAGCAUCAGGUAACAUCAAAUCGUACCCCAAACCGACACAGGUGGUCAGGUAGAGAAUACCAAGGCGCUUGAGAGAACUCGGGUGAAGGAACUAGGCAAAAUGGUGCCGUAACUUCGGGAGAAGGCACGCUGGUGUGUAGGUGAAGUCCCUGCGGAUGGAGCUGAGACCAGUCGAAGAUACCAGCUGGCUGCAACUGUUUAUUAAAAACACAGCACUGUGCAAACACGAAAGUGGACGUAUACGGUGUGACGCCUGCCCGGUGCCGGAAGGUUAAUUGAUGGGGUUAUCCGUAAGGAGAAGCUCUUGAUCGAAGCCCCGGUAAACGGCGGCCGUAACUAUAACGGUCCUAAGGUAGCGAAAUUCCUUGUCGGGUAAGUUCCGACCUGCACGAAUGGCGUAAUGAUGGCCAGGCUGUCUCCACCCGAGACUCAGUGAAAUUGAACUCGCUGUGAAGAUGCAGUGUACCCGCGGCAAGACGGAAAGACCCCGUGAACCUUUACUAUAGCUUGACACUGAACAUUGAGCCUUGAUGUGUAGGAUAGGUGGGAGGCUUUGAAGCGUGGACGCCAGUCUGCGUGGAGCCAACCUUGAAAUACCACCCUUUAAUGUUUGAUGUUCUAACGUUGGCCCCUUACCGGGGUUGCGGACAGUGUCUGGUGGGUAGUUUGACUGGGGCGGUCUCCUCCCAAAGCGUAACGGAGGAGCACGAAGGUUAGCUAAUCCUGGUCGGACAUCAGGAGGUUAGUGCAAUGGCAUAAGCUAGCUUGACUGCGAGCGUGACGGCGCGAGCAGGUGCGAAAGCAGGUCAUAGUGAUCCGGUGGUUCUGAAUGGAAGGGCCAUCGCUCAACGGAUAAAAGGUACUCCGGGGAUAACAGGCUGAUACCGCCCAAGAGUUCAUAUCGACGGCGGUGUUUGGCACCUCGAUGUCGGCUCAUCACAUCCUGGGGCUGAAGUAGGUCCCAAGGGUAUGGCUGUUCGCCAUUUAAAGUGGUACGCGAGCUGGGUUUAGAACGUCGUGAGACAGUUCGGUCCCUAUCUGCCGUGGGCGCUGGAGAAUUGAGGGGGGCUGCUCCUAGUACGAGAGGACCGGAGUGGACGCAUCACUGGUGUUCGGGUUGUCAUGCCAAUGGCACUGCCCGGUAGCUAAAUGCGGAAGAGAUAAGUGCUGAAAGCAUCUAAGCACGAAACUUGCCCCGAGAUGAGUUCUCCCUGAGACUUUAAGUCUCCUGAAGGAACGUUGAAGACGACGACGUUGAUAGGCCGGGUGUGUAAGCGCAGCGAUGCGUUGAGCUAACCGGUACUAAUGAACCGUGAGGCUUAACCUU
rnacentral:rRNA from 1 species